rnacentral:tRNA from 1 species
GCGGGCGUGGCGGAACUGGCAGACGCGCGGGAUUUAGGAUCCCGUGGCCGCAAGGCCUUGCAGGUUCGAUUCCUGUCGCCCGCA